CAGGCGCGGAGCCGGGAGCGCCAAUGGCGGAGCCCGGGGAGCGGCGGGGUCCGGCCGGGGACAGCGGGGGCGGCUGCGCCGGGCUCGGAGGAUGAGGAAGCCAACCCUGCCGAGGAGGAAGAUGAGGAGGUGUGGGAGGAUGGAGACAGCGGCCACCGAAGGCUGGGGGAGGCACAGCUCCAGGUAGGAGAUGUUGCCUUCCAAGGAGAGGGACUCGUCUGUCCCACUGGAAUUUGGGGCGCGAGGCCAGUGGAACAAAGCGUUUGGUUCCGUUUUCUUGCUCGGGUUCUGAUGUGCCUUAAGAGAGAUUUGUGGAAAGGUCAUUUUAGUGAGUUUGCACUGGCUUUGAAGGAAUGUGACCUCUGGGGCAGAAAUCCCUGCACAGCUUCUGAGUGCCCCCAUGGCUCAUCUGAACAGUUUGUGGGCUGGGCCUCCUUGUUUCCUCCUUUUCCAGGCCCCAGAUGGAGUCCUUCUUUUCCCAAGGGAGGGAAAAGCCAGAAGGAUGUGAACCAGAGGUGGUGCUUUAGGAAAAGCCCUCCAGCCUGGGAAGGUGCUUUUGGCUCCAGACACAUUCCCCAUGAGCAGCAGGACCUGUGCUGUCCCCAGCAGAAUCCUCUGAGGCUGAAACAAAGACAAGGAGCCUUUUGAGAUGGAAAGAGGCAGAGCCAGUUGUCCUGGGAAAGGAAAAUGAAAGAUGGUAAGUGCUAAAACCUUUGUUCCUCCCUUGUCCUGAGCCCUGUACUCAGGAAUGGGUCAGUGUGGGAAUUUCCUGGAGACACUGGUCUGCUGAGGAGAGGGAAAUCCCACUGGCAAUUUGCAGCCCCUGAGGGAGGGCAGGAAGAGCAGGGGCUGGGUCUGUGAGUGUGUGAGAAAUAAGGGAGGGACAAAUGGUGGAUCACCCCGUGCCUCAGGGCACCAGGAAAAGCCCGCAACUGAAAAACGGGAGCUUUGUUCUGUAGGGAGCCCCUGCACAGGCCCUGGGAAUUGGGCUCAUGCCGGCUUCCCUACCAGAGCUAGAGGAACCCCCCCCAGUGCUGUUUGAGACAUUCCUGACUGGAACUGGGGCCGGCUGGGCACUUCCCGUUUGCUUUCCUGUAGGAUGUGGGCCAUGACAAGGGAAUUGGCUGCAGCAGGGCCCAAGAUCAGUGUGGGCUCUGUGGCAGGGGCAGCUCCCAGAGCCGGACAGGGAAAGGGGUCUUCACUCACACUCCCAAAAACCUGGGAAGGAAAAAACAGCUGCCUACAGCUUCUGGAGCUCUGGGCUUUCUGGCACACUCCGGGACAUGGGGGGAUAAUGCCAGAAUCGUUCAAAGCUUGGGAAUAAUGGACUUCCGAGCAUCCCUGGGGCCUGUUCUGGGCCGGCUCCUGCCCAUUGGCCACUGGUGCAGAUGGCCUUGGAAGUGAUGGAGGCGCUCAGGGAAUGCUGCUCGGUUUUCCCUGGCUUUGGCAAGAAAGUACUCAGUAAAAAUACCGAUUGACCUCUUCCAACAGGGAGCCAUUUAAGCGAGAGGCGCCGAAAAGAAUUGGAGUUUCUGAUUUUAAGUCUCUGACUCAAAUUCCCCUUUGGAUUGUCAUGGCUCCGAUUUUCACGGGCUGGUCACCUUGGCCGGGAGUGUCCAAUCCUGCUGAAAAUGCAUUGGACCGGGAUGUCAUUUCCAUCUUAUCCUGGUAAAGACUGGGUGACCCCCAGUCACUGGAAGGACUGGGCUGGGCUCCCAGGGCACUAAUUCCAGGUGUUCUGUUUUUAGGAGUAGCACGGGAGCCUUGCCCUUGCCCAGAGGAGCAGCCAGUGCCUCCCUUAGUCCACAAAUCCCCAGGAUGGAAGACAAAGGAGAUAACAGGAAUGUGGAAGUCCCCUACACUGGGGGUUUGUGGUGCUUUGGAUUACAUUUUGGAUUUAUGUUAAAAGGGGGAGUGUGGAGGGGUGUUUCUCUGUCUCCUGUUCAUUAUUGUACUCGCUGCUCUUGUUGCUCUCACCGUUCCUCUGUGUUGUCAUUAACAUUAAAUGAUUGUAUUUGAAUUGGUUUCCAUUAUUAAACUGU